GCUUACACAUGCAGUCGAGCGGGGAAGGGUAGCUUGCUACCUAACCUAGCGGCGGACGGGUGAGUAAUGCUUAGGAAUCUGCCUAUUAGUGGGGGACAACAUUUCGAAAGGAAUGCUAAUACCGCAUACGCCCUACGGGGGAAAGCAGGGGAUCUUCGGACCUUGCGCUAAUAGAUGAGCCUAAGUCGGAUUAGCUAGUUGGUGGGGUAAAGGCCUACCAAGGCGACGAUCUGUAGCGGGUCUGAGAGGAUGAUCCGCCACACUGGGACUGAGACACGGCCCAGACUCCUACGGGAGGCAGCAGUGGGGAAUAUUGGACAAUGGGGGGAACCCUGAUCCAGCCAUGCCGCGUGUGUGAAGAAGGCCUUUUGGUUGUAAAGCACUUUAAGCGAGGAGGAGGAGCUCUAGACUAAUACUCUAGAUGCUUGGACGUUACUCGCAGAAUAAGCACCGGCUAACUCUGUGCCAGCAGCCGCGGUAAUACAGAGGGUGCAAGCGUUAAUCGGAUUUACUGGGCGUAAAGCGUGCGUAGGUGGCCAAUUAAGUCAAAUGUGAAAUCCCCGAGCUUAACUUGGGAAUUGCAUUCGAUACUGGUUGGCUAGAGUAUGGGAGAGGAUGGUAGAAUUCCAGGUGUAGCGGUGAAAUGCGUAGAGAUCUGGAGGAAUACCGAUGGCGAAGGCAGCCAUCUGGCCUAAUACUGACACUGAGGUACGAAAGCAUGGGGAGCAAACAGGAUUAGAUACCCUGGUAGUCCAUGCCGUAAACGAUGUCUACUAGCCGUUGGGGUCUUUGAGACUUUAGUGGCGCAGCUAACGCGAUAAGUAGACCGCCUGGGGAGUACGGUCGCAAGACUAAAACUCAAAUGAAUUGACGGGGGCCCGCACAAGCGGUGGAGCAUGUGGUUUAAUUCGAUGCAACGCGAGACCUUACCUGGUCUGACAU
rnacentral:rRNA from 1 species